UCCUCUUUACAGAGGCAGUUUGUUUCGAGUUCCCGGCAUUACCCGCUGGUAACAAAACAUGAGGGUUGCGCUCGUUGCGGGACUUAACCCAACAUCUCACGACACGAGCUGACGACAGCCAUGCAGCAUCUGUGGUGCACCCUCGAAGGUCACACGUUUCCGUGCGCUUGCAGCACCAUGUCAAGUCCAGGUAAGGUUCUUCGCGUUGCAUCGAAUUAAAGAACAUGCUCCGCUGCUUGUGCGGGCCCCCGUCAAUUCUUUUGAGUUUUAGCCUUGCGGCCGUACUCCCCAGGCGGGGCGCUUAAUGCGUUAGCUGCGGCACGGAAGGGGUCGAUCCCACCCGCGCCCAGUGCCCAACGUUUACGGCUGGGACUAC
rnacentral:misc_RNA from 1 species